rnacentral:rRNA from 1 species
GGGCGAAACCUCCACAAUGAGCGAAAGCUUGAUGGGGUUACUCCGAGUGUCGGCUUGAGGAAUAAGGGGAGGGCAAGUCUGGUGUCAGCCGCCGCGGUAAUACCAGCUCCCCGAGUGGUCGGGACGGUUAUUUGGCCUAAAGCAUCCGUAGCCUGUCCUGCAAGUCUUCCGUUAAAUCUAACGGCUCAACCGUUAGGCUGCGAAAGAUACCGCAGGACUAGGGGACGGGAGAGGCGGACGGUACUCCGGGGGUAGGGGUAAAAUCCUCUGAUCCUCGGAAGACCACCAGCGGCGAAGGCGGUCCGCCAGAACGUGCCCGACGGUGAGGGAUGAAAGCUGGGGGAGCGAACCGGAUUAGAUACCCGGGUAGUCCCAGCUGUAAACGAUGCGAGCUAGGUGACAGAAUGGCCUAAGGGCCAUUCGCUGCCGCAGGGAAGCCGUUAAGCUCGCCGCCUGGGGAGUACGGACGCAAGUCUGAAACUUAAAGGAAUUGGCGGGGGAGCACACAAGGGGUGAAGCCUGCGGUUCAAUUGGAGUCAACGCCGGAAAUCUUACCAGGGGAGACAGAGAAUGAAGGUCAAGCUGAAGACCUUACCAGACGAGCUGAGAAGUGGUGCAUGGCC